GACGAACGCUGGCGGUGUGCUUAACACAUGCAAGUCGAACGGUAAGGCCCUUUCGGGGGUACACGAGUGGCGAACGGGUGAGUAACACGUGAGUAACCUGCCCUCAUCUCUGGGAUAACAGUCGGAAACGGUUGCUAAUACUGGAUAUGAGCUUGCAAGGCAUCUUGUGGGUUGGAAAGAUUUUUUUUGGUUGGGGAUGGACUCGCGGCCUAUCAGCUUGUUGGUGAGGUAGUGGCUCACCAAGGCUUCGACGGGUAGCCGGCCUGAGAGGGCGACCGGCCACAUUGGGACUGAGAUACGGCCCAAACUCCUACGGGAGGCAGCAGUGGGGAAUAUUGCACAAUGGACGGAAGUCUGAUGCAGCAACGCCGCGUGCGGGAUGACGGCCUUCGGGGUGUAAACCGCUUUCAAUUGUGACGAAGCGUUUUUGUGACGGUAGCAGUAGAAGAAGCACCGGCUAACUACGUG
rnacentral:rRNA from 1 species